GACGAACGCUGGCGGCGUGCCUAAUACAUGCAAGUUGAGCGAUGAAGAUUGGUGCUUGCACCAAUUUGAAGAGCAGCGCGCGGGUGAGUAACGCGUGGGGAAUCUGCCUUUGAGCGGGGGACAACAUUUGGAAACGAAUGCUAAUACCGCAUAACAACUUUAAACAUAAGUUUUAAGUUUGAAAGAUGCAAUUGCAUCACUCAAAGAUGAUCCCGCGUUGUAUUAGCUAGUUGGUGAGGUAAAGGCUCACCAAGGCGAUGAUACAUAGCCGACCUGAGAGGGGGAUCGGCCACAUUGGGACGGAGACACGGCCCACACUCCUGCGGGAGGCAGCAGUAGGGAAUCUUCGGCAAUGGAAGAAAGUCUGACCGAGCAACGCCGCGUGAGUGAAGAAGGUUUUCGGGUCGUAAAACUCUGUUGGUAGAGAAGAACGUUGGUGAGAGUGGAAAGCUCAUCAAGUGACGGUAACUACACAGAAAGGGACGGCUAACUACGUG
rnacentral:rRNA from 1 species